rnacentral:rRNA from 1 species
CGAUUAGGUAAGUCUUUUGUGAAAUCGUUGGGCUUAACCCAGCGAAUGGCAAGAGAAACUGCCCAGUUAGGGACCGGGAGGGGUCAGGAGUACUCCUUGGGUAACGGUUAAAUGUUAUAAUCCUAGGAGGACUACCAGUGGCGAAAGCGCCUGACCAGAACGGGUCCGACGGUGAGGGACGAAAGCUGGGGUAGCGAACCGGAUUAGAUACCCGAGUAGUCCUAGCUGUAAACUCUGCGAACUAUGUGUCGCACAUCUUUAGUGGAUGUGCGGUGCCGGAGCGAAGGUGUUAAGUUCGCCGCCUGGGGA